UAACAAUUCACAUGUUUUUCAAAAGUGUGAUGCAUAUUCUAAUACUUGUUUAUCGUGUGUUGCCUUAAUGUAGCCACUGUUGCUUUUACUGUUAGGUAAAGGACCAGACUUUUGAUUCCUUCAAUAAGAGAUAAGAUUGCUAUUGUCCCAACAUUCAGGAACAACAGUUGUUGCUAUGAGCCACCAUAAUGCGAGUUACCACACUAUUGUAUUUCCAUUUUAUAAUGGUCAUUGUGACGGUUUCACAGCUUGCAGUUUCAUGAAGAGUUACUGUCUACGAUAACAUUAAAUCAAAAGAUUUGAAAGGUGUUACGGAGUUCUAUUUUUGCAGUUUCAUGACCUUUCUUUUCUUCGGUUUGUUGUAUACAAUUGGUUUUUUU